rnacentral:misc_RNA from 1 species
UAUCAUCAGGCCCAACCCCCUCCUUUGCUGGUGGGGGUUUGUGCUUGGACUUGGAUGCGCUGCCGGGCGGCGACGCCCGGCUCAUCCCAAAUGCAUUAGCUGGAUUUAUUCCUGGCUUGGACUUUUGUUCUCACUCGGCGUGAUAAGAUCACCCGUCGAGGACGUCCCUUGCCUCACGGACCGGCUUCCAACCGUCCCCUCGUGGACAGACCACUUUGACA